AAAGAAUGAUUCAUUAGCGAAUCAGACGUCGCUAUUGCUUCUCUAGUCUAAGCAGGAAUCAGGUGUCAUUGUGGAGUUUCCCCAGGGAUCCGAUGUGUGCUGUAAAUGAAUGUGGCAUCUCAUUAACAAUCAACAUGCUCUCCGUGAAGAUUGACCGCCCUGCGUUUACAGGAGGUGAUAGCUCAGAGGUAGCAGGAGGCCUGGCCCUCGUUACGUGUGCGUCCGGGGAGAGACAGCAGUUUACAGAGCUGUGUGUGAGCAGGGAGAUGAAUGAACGGCACGGUGAAAUAAUCAAUUAUCACUCUCUUCACCGCUGGAACAG